CCGUUCAGGGGUAAACCUAAGAAACUCAAAAGAUCGAACGGGGAGAUUCNUCGUCAGCGGCGCUGGCUUCGCGUCGAUGGACGAUGUUCCGCGGAGUCCUCGCGGCUCGCGUGCGGGCACGCUACCGUGCGUUGAUGUCCNGCUGUCGUCGUCGUGCACUUCUCCCCAAGUAGAACGUCGCGAUCCGCUGGGUGUCGGUCUACGGCCCGGGUGCGGUGACUGUCGCGUCNCCGGUAAAACGGCACGCGACAAACCCUCGGUCGCNCGGUCGGCUGCUCGGCGGUACGCGCAAGGUAUCAGGCCGCACUUCUACACGGUGCGUCGAGGCCGUCGCAAGCG
rnacentral:rRNA from 1 species